AAGAGGAAGAAAAUUAGCACCAUGAUCAUGGUAAAGUAGAGGAUGGUAGUGGUGAUGAUCUGCAGCUUGGAGAAGUAGUGCAAGUCGUAAACAAACAGGUUGACUGCCAUGAAUAGCCUGAUCAGGAAGGAAUGCCACCACCAGUGAGUCCUAUACAAAACAUAAGACACUCUUUAGGUUCGGCUCAAUACAUUUUUUUACACUGUAGUGACAUCUAAGUGCUUGGAUCUAUGAGCAGAGAUAAAUUAAGUCAUAUGAGAAAGAAACAUUUGCAUCAUUUAGAAUGUUUUCAUGAAACUAAAAUAGAUUUACUGUUGACACAAAGACUUCACUUUUGGUAGCUAAACAUAAUGGCACAGAUAAUCUGGCAAACUGGAAACGUUAAGAAUCUGUUUUACAAAUAUUACAUAAUGCAUUUACAUACAAAGAGAGAGAGAUGGCACAGUAUACCAUUAUUGUGAUGCCAGAUCCAUGUAUGCAUGGCUCCACCCACCUCUGCACAUGAGAGGAAGUAGCACAACAGGAUGACGGCCUUGGAGCAGGUGAUGAGAAAAAUGAUGAACACCAGGAACAGGAACCCAAACAUGUAGUACAUCUGACUUGACCCUUGUUCUUACCAGAUGCUGUUGAUGAAGAAGAGCUGGAUAAAGAUGCAGCCGAAGGGCUGGAUUCCGCCAAUGACGAUUCCGGGCAUGGCCUUGAUGAAGACGGAAUGUUUAUAGAUCUGCCGAGUGAUCUUGUUGGUUCGCAAUGGCUGCUCAAUCGCCUGUAUCACAGAGAAUAGUAUACUUUGAAGAAUCUCAAAUAUAAAAUAUAUUUUGAUUUGUUUAACACAUUUUUGGUUACUACAUGAUUCCAUAUGAGUUAGUUCAUAGUUUUGAUGUCUUCACUAUUAUUAUACAAUGUAGACAAUAGUAGAAAUAAAGAAAAACCCUGGAAUGAG